CGCCAGACUCCUACGGGAGGCAGCAGUGAGGAAUAUUGGUCAAUGGGCUUACGCCUGAACCAGCCAAGUCGCGUGAGGGAAGACUGCCCUAUGGGUUGUAAACCUCUUUUGUCGGGGAGCAAAAGCCGGACGUGUCCGGCUGUGAGAGUACCCGAAGAAAAAGCAUCGGCUAACUCCGUGCCAGCAGCCGCGGUAAUACGGAGGAUGCGAGCGUUAUCCGGAUUUAUUGGGUUUAAAGGGUGCGCAGGCGGAAUGUCAAGUCAGCGGUAAAAUUUCGGGGCUCAACCCCGUCGUGCCGUUGAAACUGGCGUUCUUGAGUGGGCGAGAAGUACGCGGAAUGCGUGGUGUAGCGGUGAAAUGCAUAGAUAUCACGCAGAACUCCGAUUGCGAAGGCAGCGUACCGGCGCCCAACUGACGCUCAUGCACGAAAGCGUGGGUAUCGAACAGGAUUAGAUACCCCAGUA
rnacentral:rRNA from 1 species